rnacentral:rRNA from 1 species
UGAAUACGAGACGCUAAGGCGUCGAAGUAGUGUAUGUCAUACUUCCAAGAAAAGCUUGCACUGUCAUAGAUAAAAAACGCCUGUACCAUAACCGACACAGGUGGGUAGGUAGAGUAUACUAAGGGGCGCGAGAUAACUCUCUCUAAGGAACUCGGCAAAAUAACUCCGUAACUUCGGGAGAAGGAGUGCCUUAUUCGUAAGGUUGCAAUAACAAGAUCCAAGCAACUGUUUAUCAAAAACACAGGUCUCCGCUAAGUCGAAAGACGAUGUAUGGGGGCUGACGCCUGCCCAGUGCCCGAAGGUUAAAGAAGUUGGUUAGCAAUUGCGAAGCUGAUAACUGAAGCCCUGGUGAACGGCGGCCGUAACUAUAACGGUCCUAAGGUAGCGAAAUUCCUUGUCGGGUAAGUUCCGACCCGCACGAAAGGCGUAAUGAUUUGGAUACUGUCUCGGAGAGGGGCUCGGUGAAAUAGACUUGUCUGUGAAGAUGCGGACUACCUGCACCAGGACAGAAAGACCCUAUGAAGCUUUACUGUAACUUGAAAUUGAAAUUGGACUUUAUUCGCGCAGUAUAGGUGGGAGGCGUUGAUUAUAAUCUUGUGGGAUUAUUGGAGCCAUCAGUGAGAUACCACUCUUGUAAUGUUAGAUUUCUAACUUGGAAUCAUUAUCUGGUCAAAGAACAGUUUCAGGCGGGCAGUUUGACUGGGGCGGUCGCCUCCUAAACGGUAACGGAGGCGUACAAAGGUUUCCUCUGAACGGUUAGAAAUCGUAUCUAGAGUGUAAAGGCAUAAGGAAGCUUGACUGUGAGACCUACAAGUCGAGCAGGGACGAAAGUCGGUCUUAGUGAUCUGACGGUACUGAGUGGAAAGGCCGUCACUCAACGGAUAAAAGUUACUCUAGGAUAACAGGCUGAUCUCCCCCAAGAGUUCACAUCGACGGGGAGGUUUGGCACCUCGAUGUCGGCUCAUCGCAUCCUGGGGCGGUAGUACGUCCCAAGGGUUGGGCUGUUCGCCCAUGAAAGCGGUACGCGAGCUGGGUUCAGAACGUCGUGAGACAGUUCGGUCCAUAUCCGGUGUAGGCGUUAGAAUAUUGAGAGGAGCCCUCUUUAGUACGAGAGGACCGAGAAGGACAUACCUCUGGUGUACCAGUUAUCGUGCCAACGGUAAACGCUGGGUAGCUAUGUAUGGAGUGGAUAACCGCUGAAAGCAUCUAAGUGGGAAGCCCACCUCAAGAUAAGUAUUCUCAUC